UCGCUUUAGCAGCACAUGCACUAAAAUUGGAAUGCUCCGGAGAAGCUUAGGAUGGCCCCCGUGCAAGAAUGAUGCACAAAUUUAUGAAGCAUUCCACAUUUUU
ensembl:snRNA U6 U6 spliceosomal RNA